GUAGGGAAUAUUGGACAAUGGGCGCAAGCCUGAUCCAGCCAUGCCGCGUGCAGGAAGACGCAUCUAUGGUGUGUAAACUGCUUUUGUACGGGAAGAAACACUCCCUCGUGAGGGAGCUUGACGGUACCGUAAGAAUAAGGAUCGGCUAACUCCGUGCCAGCAGCCGCGGUAAUACGGAGGAUCCAAGCGUUAUCCGGAAUCAUUGGGUUUAAAGGGUCCGUAGGCGGUUUAAUAAGUCAGUGGUGAAAGCCCAUCGCUCAACGAUGGAACGGCCAUUGAUACUGUUAGACUUGAAUUACAAGGAAGUAACUAGAAUAUGUAGUGUAGCGGUGAAAUGCUUAGAUAUUACAUGGAAUACCAAUUGCGAAGGCAGGUUACUACUUGUGGAUUGACGCUGAUGGACGAAAGCGUGGGGAGCGAACAGGAUUAGAUACCCUAGUAGUCC
rnacentral:rRNA from 1 species